AAGGUAUGCAAGUCGAACGAUCCCUUUGAAUUACUUGAAACUUCGGUUGAUUGUAUUUCUUUUUGGGAUAGUGGCAAACGGGUGAGUAACACGUGGAUAACCUGCCUUAAAGUCAUGAACAGCUCAUCGAAAGAUGGGAUAAUACAUGAUGGUCUUACAAUUUCUAUCCGACUUUGUAAGUAAAGCUCCGGCGCUUUAAGAGGGGUCCGCGUCCUAUCAGCUUGUUGGUGAGGUAAUAGCUCACCAAGGCUAAGACGGGUAGCUGGCGUGAGAGCGCGGUCAGCCACCAUGGAACUGAGACACGGUCCAUACUCCUACGGGAGGCAGCAAUUAGGAAUCUUGCGCAAUGGGGGCAACCCUGACGCAGCGACACAGCGUGGAGGACGAAGGUCUUCGGAUUGUAAACUCCUUUUAUAUGGGAAGAAUAGAUGACGGUACCAUAUGAAUAAGCACCUGCUAACUACGUGCCAGAAGCAUCGGUGAUACGUAGGGUGCGAACGUUAUCCGGAUUUAUUGGGCGUAUAGAGAUGCGUAGGCGUUUCUGUAAGUCUGAAGUUAAAGCCCACGGCUUAACCGUGGAAAAGCUUUGGAAACUGCAGAAAUUGAGACAGGAAGAGGCGAAUGGAAUUCCCAGUGGAGCGGUGAAAUGCGUUGAUAUUGGGAGGAACAUCAGUGGCGAAGGCGAUUCGCUGGUCCUUGUCUGACGCUGAGGCUCGAAAGCGUGGGUAGCAAAACGGAUUAGAUACCCGUGUAGUCCACGCCGUAAACUAUGGAUGCUAGGUGUUCGGUACAACCGUUUUUUCCUUCGGGAAAAAAUGGAAGUAUUGAGUGCCGCAGCUAACGCGUUAAGCAUCCCGCCUGGGAAGUACGGNCGCAAGG
rnacentral:rRNA from 1 species